rnacentral:lncRNA from 1 species
UCGGACAAAAGGGGGUUUGCAGAGCUUCACCGACAUUUGUUGCCGCAACUGGUUUGAUGGGCCCUACAUUCUCCGAUGUGCAAGGCGUCUCCAGAGAAGACAUAUUUCGAUACUUCUCGUCAGUCACGUCGCUGGCUUCAGGAACGAGGGUGCUCAGAAAUAAGCUCAUGACUAGACCAGGCACAGCACAGAGUGCCUCAGGCCACGCUGACCUUUGUGCGGGACGGGGCGUGGAUGCCUGAAAAUUUGACCCCUCGACAGCGCCAAGAAUCAGAUGCGCCAUUCCUGUCUGAGCCUAGUGUGUGGCCCUCCACCAUAGCUCCAGUGGGUUGGCCAGGCCAUUGUGGUCGGUGAUUGGCCGAUGGUUGUGCAUCUCCAGAAAGAUUUGCCAGC